UCAAUGGUGCAGUUACAGGUUAGAAUAUGGCUUUAAAUAUAAUCUGGCUCUUGAAGUUUAUAUUUGUACUGCUGUAUAGCCUGCAUAUGUAUUUGUAGUAACCUUGUUAUGGUGCAAUGUUCGAUUAUGCACUAUGGUGACUGUUGACAUUAUGAAAAUGAAGUGAACUUAUGCAUGACAUUUUAGGGAGUGAGAUCGGAAAUUAAAUACACCCUUUUGAUCAUUUGUUCCAUAAUCUGUAGGUUAGGAGAUUUGUGGAUUUAUAUGUAUAAACGUUGCUAGACCAAUCUAGUGAUGUAUAAAUGUUGAUUUAUAUGUAUGAAUGGGUACUUUGAUUGUGCUCUAGCCUGCUUAAUAUGUGAAACAAAAUCCUUAACUUAUAUAUAUUUAGAUAUUUGGAAAUUGUGAAUAUUACUUGAUUUUGCCAAGUUUGUUAAGUAGGACUCUCACAUCUUAGUUGAACUGUAUAGGCGCCGUCUUAUUAGGCUCGCACAACAUUGUUCGUAGUCGAGUAUGGUAGAAUUUUCUGGUGGAUUUUGUUGUAUUACUUUACUUUGAUGCCAGUCAUGUGGCUAGAGAAGUUUGGCGGGUUUAUAUGUACUUUUAGAAUUUUAAAUAGUACAUCCGUUCAGAACUAUGGACGGACCAAACUAGGACAGCAAGCUUUGGUGCAUUUAUGGCAUUAGAUUUGCAACAGUGGCCUAUUAGUAAGUCGCAGUAUUGUGUUAGAUCAUGAAAUGACUUAUUUUACUGGUUAGAAUAUGUGACAUGAGGCUAUGAGAAAGUUGAUAACUUGAUACUGCUAUUUGAGGAUAGUUAUUAAUUGAGCACAUAAGCGGUUGUGUAUGUCUUAAAAUGUAAGACUUACACGGUCUGAAUUGAUAAAAACAGUGGACUGAACUAGGGAUGUGAACACCUGCCGAACUCUUUAAUCUUAUGCAGGGUCGUGUUAAAAUGAUACUACAGUAGCAUUUGGUAAAAUUUAGUAUCGCAAUCUGGGCACAAGUCUAUAAGGUCUGAACCUAUCGGAGACAAGUCAUUUUUAUGGGGUUCACUGCCCAAUCCAACGAUUAUGCUUAAUCCUAAAACUAACAAUUAUCCGUUGUAUUUUCUUGUACACCAGUUAUAUAAGUGCACAUAAAAGUGCACCUUUUUUUGUGCUUGUUAUACGAGGUGUAUAUGCCUGUAUACCGGUUAUAUGUUGUGGUCUCCUUAUCGAAUUUGGUUAUUGGAUGAUUGUGCUAUGAAACAACUUUCAAUUGAUGGUUGUGCGCUGGAUGGUGCUCAAGGGCCACAAUGGAUAGAAGCAUGGGUAUGAGCAUUAACCUAAGGGAAAUUGAUCUUACUUGGGGUGUUAAGAAUGAUCUCAAAAAGCUCCAGAACACCUUGGAAAUGAAUGCAGCGGUGACAGAUGAUGCUGAGAAGAAGCAAAUAAGAGACAGUUCUGUGCGAUUGUGGAUAAAGCGGCUUAAAGAUCUGCUCAUGACGCUGCUGAUGUGCUGGAUGAGUUCGUAAUGCGGAGAAAUGAAAUGAUCAGAAAGAGGGUUAAGGAAAUUAUGUAAUGUCCAGUAGCUCACCAGUUCAAAGAAUAAUUGGUGAUCCAAAACAGUCAAAAUCUUAUCCUAAGAAGAUUCUUUGCUGCACUUAUGACUGAUUUUUUGGUUGGCUAGCGUAACUCACCUGAGUACGAAAUCAGCAAGAUGUGAAGCAAAGAUCACUGGAUUGUCACCUGCAACAUAUGGAUGGGCUAUCUAUAAGUUUAAAUUUCUGACAGGAGGAGCAGCCAGUACCAAAAAAGUCUUGACUUAAUAAAAGUUACGGAUCAGGAAAAAGAAAUAUGAAAGAGCCAUCUACAAAUUAAGUCUCGCUGACGCCAAAGCUUCGGAGAUGCAAGAGAGCAACCACUUGUUUUCAUCAUGGUUGGACAAAGCAAACCGAGCUUAUAUAUGGAAAGUGGAGUUCCCAUCUCUUUCGAUAAAAGUGUACUGAAUAGAGCUCCAAUGGCAGAUAAGUUUUCUGAUUUUGCAUACUAUGGGUUGGAUUUUGAAUGUGUACAUAAUUGUACACCUGUUGAUUUUCAAUAUGCACAUAGGUCUACACCUGUUGAUCGCUAAUACAUACAUUAUUGUACAUUUGUAGAUUUUUAACGAACAUGGUCGAUAUGAGUUUGAUGAAUGGAUUGUUUUGUAUCCUGUUAUGGAGAAGUUAGUUGGUAAUAUCUCUGGGUAGUCUGUUCCCCAUCUUCUUAAAGGGGCUUGUUUGUAGGUGUGACAUUGUUACUUCACUUUUUUAUUCAGAAAUCAUUUGUUUGACGACGUUGUAGGAUGGAAUGACAUGCUUCUAGCUGAUGAUAUGAUAUGGGGCCAGAAUUGCUUCAACGAGCUUGUCCAUAAACAGUUGGGACCACUGGUUGAUAAGGAAAGUGGUCUUGUGUUUUCUUAGGAUAAAACACAUGUUUGUACACCACUGUAGGCUAAGAUUUCUGGAUGUUUCUGCACCACUGUAGACUAGGAAAGUGGUCUUGUGUUUUCUGUAGAUGCUUACAUGUUUGUACACCACUGUAGACCAAGAUUUUUUUUAAAUGAGAAUUAUAUAGCUAUAGGUGUUCUUUUUGUAGCUCUCGGAAAGAGCUUUCCGAGUAUAUAAAAGUUGCGAAUUUCGAACAAACGGUUUAAAAGAUAAAUUGUUUUCUAA